AAGGCUGGACUCAAAGGAAGCUUAAGACCCAUGCUCACUACAUGCAUUCAGAAAAGAUGCCAUAGGAAAGUCUCUGUUUCUUAUUUGAGGAGUGGGAAAGAAAUCCCUAACAGGAGGACUUGAAUUUCAGUUUAGUAAUCUUCAGCACUCUUUGGGAUUUGAUGAAGUCAACCAUUACUUAAAUUCAAAUGAUAUGGACAGGAGACGGAAAUACUGGGUAAAAGAGGGCGGUUACCUGGCAAAGGCCCCACCCUUAAG
rnacentral:lncRNA from 10 species